rnacentral:pre_miRNA from 1 species
AGUUGGAUAGCUGGAUCAACUGGUGAUUCCAUUCCUAGUUUUUUGAGGAAUCUCCAUAUUGCUUUCCAGAUUGGUUUCACCAAUUUUCAGUACCACCAGCAAU